GACGAACGCCGGCGGCGUGCUUAACACAUGCAAGUCGAACGAUGAACCCGGAGCUUGCUCCGGCGGAUUAGUGGCGAACGGGUGAGUAACACGUGAGUAACCUGCCCUUGACUCUGGGAUAAGCGUUGGAAACGACGUCUAAUACCGGAUACGAGCUGGGACCGCAUGGUCACUAGCUGGAAAGAAUUUCGGUCAAGGAUGGACUCGCGGCCUAUCAGUUAGUUGGUGAGGUAACGGCUCACCAAGACGACGACGGGUAGCCGGCCUGAGAGGGUGACCGGCCACACUGGGACUGAGACACGGCCCAGACUCCUACGGGAGGCAGCAGUGGGGAAUAUUGCACAAUGGGCGAAAGCCUGAUGCAGCAACGCCGCGUGAGGGACGACGGCCUUCGGGUUGUAAACCUCUUUUAGCAGGGAAGAAGCGAAAGUGACGGUACCUGCAGAAAAAGCACCGGCUAACUACGUGCCAGCAGCCGCCGUAA
rnacentral:rRNA from 1 species